rnacentral:rRNA from 1 species
AUUUGUAGAGGAUGCUUUUGGUGAGGUGCCGCCCGAGUUCCCUGGAACGGGACGCCACAGAGGGUGAGAGCCCCGUCUGGCUGGCCACCGAGCCUCUGUAAAGCUCCUUCGAC